AUUGAACGCUAGCGGGAUGCCUUACACAUGCAAGUCGAACGGAGUGGCGAACGGGUGAGUAAUGUAUCGGAACGUGCCCAGUAGCGGGGGAUAAAUACGCGAAAGCGUAGCCAAUACCGCAUACUCUAGGAGCGGCCGAUAUCGGAUUAGCUAGUUGGUGGGGUAACGGCUCACCAAGGCGACGAUCCAUAGCUGGUUUGAGAGGACGACCAGCCACACUGGGACUGAGACACGGCCCAGACUCCUACGUGAGGCAGCAGUGGGGAAUUUUGGACAAUGGGGGAAACCCUGAUCCAGCCAGCCCGCGUGUGCGAUGAAGGCCUUCGGGUUGUAAAGCACUUUUGGCAGGAAAGCGGUACCUGCAGAAUAAGCACCGGCUAACUACGUGCCAGCAGCCGCGGUAAUAC
rnacentral:rRNA from 1 species